GGGCCUGUAGCUCAGUUGGUUAGAGCAGAGGACUCAUAAUCCUUUGGUCGCAGGUUCGAAUCCUGCCGGGCCCACCA
rnacentral:tRNA from 1 species